rnacentral:tRNA from 5 species
CGGGAAUUGGUGUAAUGGCAGCACAACGUUAUAACAUAAAUUCUUGUACAGGAAUUUCACAGCAACCAAUACAAUUGCAUAGGGAGCCGUGAGAUAAGGUUCGAUUCCUUGAUUCCCGA